rnacentral:rRNA from 1 species
GAUGAACGCUGGCGGCGUGCUUAACACAUGCAAGUCGAACGAAGCACUUAAGAUUGAUUCUUCGGAUGACGUCUCUUGUGACUUAGUGGCGGACGGGUGAGUAACGCGUGGGUAACCUGCAUCACACAGGGGGAUAACAGAUAGAAAUGACUGCUAAUACCGCAUAACCCGAUAGGAUCGCAUGAUCCAGACGGGAAAGAUUUUUCGGUGUGAGAUGGACCCGCGUCUGAUUAGCUAGUUGGUGAGGUAACGGCCCACCAAGGCGACGAUCAGUAGCCGGCCUGGGAGGCGGCCCCGCCACAUUGGGACUGAGACACGGCCCCAACUCCUACGGGAGGCAGCAGUGUGUAAUAUUGUACAAUGGAGCCAGCCCUGAUGCAGCGACGCCGCGUGUGUGAAGAAGUAUUUCGUAAUGUAAAGCUCUAUCAGCAGGGGAGAAAAUGACGGUACCUGACUAAGAAGCCCCGGCUAACUACGUG